rnacentral:sRNA from 1 species
UGGAAGAAGCUCUAGAAGCUUCUAGAUACGCGAGCCAUCCU